rnacentral:rRNA from 1 species
UUUAUGGAGAGUUUGAUCCUGGCUCAGGAUGAACGCUGGCGGCGUGCCUAAUACAUGCAAGUCGAGCGAACGGACGAGAAGCUUGCUUCUCUGAUGUUAGCGGCGGACGGGUGAGUAACACGUGGAUAACCUACCUAUAAGACUGGGAUAACUUCGGGAAACCGUAGCUAAUACCGGAUAAUAUUUUGAACCGCAUGGUUCAAAAGUGAAAGACGGUCUUGCUGUCACUUAUAGAUGGAUCCGCGCUGCAUUAGCUAGUUGGUAAGGUAACGGCUUACCAAGGCAACGAUGCAUAGCCGACCUGAGAGGGUGAUCGGCCACACUGGAACUGAGACACGGUCCAGACUCCUACGGGAGGCAGCAGUAGGGAAUCUUCCGCAAUGGGC